ACCGCGACCCCAGUCCGCGGGAUUACCCGCUGAGUUUAAGCAUAUC
rnacentral:rRNA from 1 species